rnacentral:rRNA from 1 species
AGAGUUUGAUCCUGGCUCAGGAUGAACGCUGGCGGCGUGCCUAACACAUGCAAGUCGAGCGAUCUUCUUCGGAAGAGAGCGGCGGACGGGUGAGUAACGCGUGGGUAACCUGCCCUGUACACACGGAUAACAUACCGAAAGGUAUGCUAAUACGAGAUAAUAUGCUUUUGUCGCAUGGUAGAAGUAUCAAAGCUUUUGCGGUACAGGAUGGACCCGCGUCUGAUUAGCUAGUUGGUAAGGUAACGGCUUACCAAGGCGACGAUCAGUAGCCGACCUGAGAGGGUGAUCGGCCACAUUGGAACUGAGACACGGUCCAAACUCCUACGGGAGGCAGCAGUGGGGAAUAUUGCACAAUGGGCGAAAGCCUGAUGCAGCAACGCCGCGUGAGCGAUGAAGGCCUUCGGGUCGUAAAGCUCUGUCCUCAAGGAAGAUAAUGACGGUACUUGAGGAGGAAGCCCCGGCUAACUACGUGCCAGCAGCCGCGGUAAUACGUAGGGGGCUAGCGUUAUCCGGAAUUACUGGGCGUAAAGGGUGCGUAGGUGGUUUCUUAAGUCAGAGGUGAAAGGCUACGGCUCAACCGUAGUAAGCCUUUGAAACUGGGAAACUUGAGUGCAGGAGAGGAGAGUGGAAUUCCUAGUGUAGCGGUGAAAUGCGUAGAUAUUAGGAGGAACACCAGUUGCGAAGGCGGCUCUCUGGACUGUAACUGACACUGAGGCACGAAAGCGUGGGGAGCAAACAGGAUUAGAUACCCUGAUAGUCCACGCCGUAAACGAUGAGUACUAGCUGUCGGAGGUUACCCCCUUCGGUGGCGCAGCUAACGCAUUAAGUACUCCGCCUGGGAAGUACGCUCGCAAGAGUGAAACUCAAAGGAAUUGACGGGGACCCGCACAAGUAGCGGAGCAUGUGGUUUAAUUCGAAGCAACGCGAAGAACCUUACCUAAGCUUGACAUCCUUUUGACCGAUGCCUAAUCGCAUCUUUCCCUUCGGGGACAGAAGUGACAGGUGGUGCAUGGUUGUCGUCAGCUCGUGUCGUGAGAUGUUGGGUUAAGUCCCGCAACGAGCGCAACCCUUGCCUUUAGUUGCCAGCAUUAAGUUGGGCACUCUAGAGGGACUGCCAGGGAUAACCUGGAGGAAGGUGGGGAUGACGUCAAAUCAUCAUGCCCCUUAUGCUUAGGGCUACACACGUGCUACAAUGGGUGGUACAGAGGGCAGCCAAGUCGUGAGGCGGAGCUAAUCCCUUAAAGCCAUUCUCAGUUCGGAUUGUAGGCUGAAACUCGCCUACAUGAAGCUGGAGUUACUAGUAAUCGCAGAUCAGAAUGCUGCGGUGAAUGCGUUCCCGGGUCUUGUACACACCGCCCGUCACACCACGGGAGUUGGGGGCGCCCGAAGUAGGUAGCUUAACCUUCGGGAGGGCGCUUACCACGGUGAGAUUCGUGACUGGGGUGAAGUCGUAACAAGGUAACC